rnacentral:rRNA from 1 species
CAAGGUGCUGACGAGUGGCAAACGGGUGAGUAACGCGUGGAUGACCUAUCCCGAGGUGGGGGACAACAGUUGGAAACGACUGCUAAUACCGCAUAAGCUCUACGGAGGAAAGGCGCAAGUUGCCUUGGGAGGGGUCCGCGUUGGAUUAGCUAGUUGGUGGGGUAACGGCCUACCAAGGCGAUGAUCCAUAGCUGGUCUGAGAGGAUGAUCAGCCACACUGGGACUGAGACACGGCCCAGACUCCUACGGGAGGCAGCAGUGGGGAAUAUUGCGCAAUGGGGGAAACCCUGACGCAGCAAUGCCGCGUGGGUGAAGAAGGCCUUCGGGUUGUAAAGCCCUUUUAGUGGGAACGAUGAUGACGGUACCUACAGAAGAAGCCCCGGCUAACUCCGUGCCAGCAGCCGCGGUAAUACGGAGGGGGCGAGCGUUGUUCGGAAUUACUGGGCGUAAAGCGUGCGCAGGCGGUUUGCCAAG